rnacentral:lncRNA from 1 species
AGCCAUCUCGUGCAAUCCACAGAAGUCCGCCUGCCAGCCCUCAACCCGGAGCCACAGGUUCCUUCGCCAUGCCGCUGCCUUGCCGAAUGGGAGACGACUGGGGAUGCUCCUGCCCGCCGGUGGCUGUCCCCUCCACCGUGAUAGUAGUAUGCGUGUGGCGAGCCGCCAGGAGCCGUAGGAGUUUGGCCGCCUCGCCAACCUGUGCUUCAAAUUGGGCACCAAGUGAAGGAAGAAGGCACUCUGGUGUUUGAUCUCGAUCGGACUCUGUACGUCGCGACGUUCGCUGCCAGGAUCGGGUGGAUUCCACUGGCCGUUCCAACCACCGCCGGGAGCUUCGGAUCUCGGGAGAAGUUGCAGCCACCCAUGUCUGCCCGUGCGCCCACUGCCCUGGGACUUCAUCGUUGGCGUCGUGCCUAGAGCUUGGGCAGUGCGCAUCGGAGAAAGAACUGGAGCCGCCAUUGUUGAAAUCUGGAGCUAGACUGCGCCGUCGGUGGUCUCGCUUUCGCUCUGCUUGCGGUAACUACUCGCCCUGUCCUGCUCGGUUCUAUCUCACCCUUGUCUCGCGCAACAGCAGUCGGACUAGGGCCCUUGAUCGCUGGCGGGUUGUGCGUGGUUGUGCUCACCGCUGCUACUAGCACCGCGGUGGGGAAGAACUACCGACGCCGGUCAGCCAUGGAGAGAGAGAGAGAAGGAAAUAGGAGGGCGUAGGGAGGAAGAAAACUGGCAGCCAUUGGAUUGGAAGUUGACGGUUAGGAUGGGAUAUGGGAAGGAUGUACCGUGGACCGUUGAUCGCGGAAUGGACGUAUCAGAUUAGAUUCACGUAUACCCGUUCGACUCAUUAAAUCCAGGGCGUAGAUCUUGGAUCCUGGGGCUCGGGUUGCGUACCGAUUUGAGCGCGACCAGAUUUAAUCGUGACCUUUGGUUUAGAUCGGACGGCCGAUGUUCUGCGAUACCCCGUCGCGAACACAUUUUCAUAAGAACCCCCUAGAGAUUGAAUAAUUAACCCGCAGUCCACUUGAUGGUUGGCUGAGUCUGGGCGAGUUUUAUAGAGUUGCCCCUGUGCUUUUCUGUAAUAGUGCGCAUGAUCCAGAGGAUAGAGAAAGAGGAUAAAUGAUUAUGGAAAUAGAUUUCUAGUAUAAAAUUUAUUGCAGAAAUUGUUUAAUUCUUAGAAAAUUCAUAUGAAGUUCAAAUUAAUCCAUUCCAGUUGCAAUAAUUUUGUUUUAAUAUUGUUCAUCAUCUAGUACCUUUGUUUAGCCAUGAAAAUUGAAUUAAUGUUAUUCACUUGAUUUAGUCUAUACUAAGCACUUAAUAACUUCGAAAAUUCAUAACUCCUCCGUUUUAACUCCGAUUUAAUCCGUUCAAGUUCCGUUAGUCUCGUAGCAACGCGUAGAUUAUUAUUACACAGUUUAUUCUUAUGUUUAGUGUGAUGUUAAUUUUGCGUAUACCAUGCUUGUUUGUAUUGCUACGACUAGCGCGAGGUUACGAGUCACCUGAAGAUCAUCCUGUUACCUGGAAUCUCAAGUGCCAGGCAAGUUGUGCCCUUGACCACUUUUUACCCAAUAAUGUUCUUUAAUAUCAUUUAUUCAUGCAUAGGUUAAUUUUGAUGGGACCCAAUAGGUUACCCUAGAUUGUUUAUCUCAUUAUCUUGUUUACCUCUGAAUCACUUGGGUAGUUUGCUAUUGCUUUACAUGGAUUUGGGAUAAUUAUUUAUCAUAGCUAUGUUCCAGUUAUUUUGUUAUUCUAUUUAUGUUCAUGUCAAGAUCAUUAAUGUUAACUGGAACAUAGAGCUUAACUUGAGAAACACGUGCCACCACAAGGGUUUAUGGACGCCCUUGGCUGAUUAAUUAGGAAAGCUAGUGGAGGACUACCUUACCCGAAAGGGGCAAGGGCAGUAGGGGAGUGGUCAGUGUAGGGAGGUCCUUGGUUGAUUUUGCUGCGAUGGCGGUCAGGCAAGAACCCUGCAUUGGAGCUUCCUAUAAACUGUAGCGGGUUUUCUGAAGCUAGUGGAACUUUGUAAAGGCCUCGUAGUGUUACCCUGCCUCGCCUCCUCGGUAGAGGUGUAUGGGAAGUCGCGAUCCCUUGGUAGAUGGGUAACAUGACUUGUGGGUAAAGGGUACCACCUCUGCAGAGUGUAAAACUGGUAUACUAGCCGAGCUCACGGUCAUGAGCAGCUCAGGACUCUCUGAUGAUUAACUUAUGGAACUAAAUUCAAUUUGUCAUAUGCAUUGCAUCGCAGGUGAUGUUGUUACUUUUGUUCUACUACUUAAUUGGGUUGGUAUUUACUUAUACUUAGUAACUGCUAAUAAAAUUUUGACCAACUUUAAAAGCAAUGCUCAGCUCUAACCAUCCUCUUUGGUAAGCCUUACACUUCACGUGAGCUCCCACCUUUGGCGAGUUCAUGCACAUUAUUCCCCACAACUUGUUGAGCGAUGAACGUAUGUGAGCUCACUCUUGCUGUCUCACACCCCCAAAGGUCAAGAACAGGUACCGCAGGAUGAGGCGCAAGGAGGAUGCUGCGAUGAGUUCGUGAGAGAUCUAGGUCGUCGUCUCCCAGUCAACUUUGGGUUGCUGGACCGUUGUCUCCUUAAAUGUAAUUAUUUAUUUUGUAUAGAACUCCUAUUAUAUAGUAAAGUUGUGACAUUCGAUCCUGUGCCACUAUGCAUCAUAUGUGUGAGACUUGGUCCCAGCACACCUGGUGAUUAUGUUCGCGCCCGGGCUUUGGACCCCUAAAACCCGGGUGUGACAGAAGUGGUAUCAGAGGAAUGUUGACUGUAGGACGAAACCUAGAUAGAACUGGAUAACCCUUAUCUACUUACCUUUACUACUCUGAUUCUUUCUAAACUUUUCUUAAUCUUUUCUCAUCUAUUUCCGCUUACUCUGAUUAUUCUUACCUUUUCAUUCUAAAGACAAAUGUGGAUUUCACACUUUGAAAUCCUAUACCUAUGGUGACCUUUAGGAAUAGGAGACCUACUCUUAGGAACAAAAUCAAAACUAUUUUUAUAGGUAUAUGUGUGCUUGAAUGUUUGUUCUUAUGAUACAUGUCUGAUUUGGUUCUUUGAUUGAGUGUGAUGAAUUGUGGAGUAAUAUCCACAAUUGCAUCUGCAUAUACAUAUAGGCGUAAAAAAACAAUAUGAUAACUCGACAAAUUAGAUUAUUCCUCAUUAAAAUAUAUCUAGCUUAAUAGAUCUAUCUUAUCUUAAAAGAUUCUCUCUUAUCUUAAUAGAUUCAUCUUACCUUAAAAAGAUUCUAUCUUAUCCUUCCGACUUGUCAUAACCACUUUGCUUACCUCAUCCUAGAGUAACAACCAUGAUCUAGCAUAAAAUAAAUAGAUCUUAUCUAGUUAUACCAAUCUGAUCUAGAUCCCACUAAUCUAACAUGAGCUAAUCCAAAUUGAGUUACUUAAGUAAGUUAGACAUAAAUUAGGCCCUGAUUCUAUAAACAUAUCUUACCCUAAAUUAAUGCCUUGGACUAACUCAUCCGUAAACAACAACCUAACCUACAUCAUAGGUUGCCUAAUCCAGAUAUCCUAAAAGCAAAGUAAAACUCUGUUUAAAUCUAACUACCUCAUGUACCCUAGCUAUCCUAGCUAUAGCCAUAUGUCCUCAACUCGGAUGGCAACUCUAGGAGGAAGGCCAAAGAAGACCAACAUCGUCAAGGAAGGAGAAGGAGAUCAACCUCGACAUGGAAGAAUACGAGUCAAAUCAGAUCUCGAGAUAAUUCAAGAUUCACCACCCAAGAUGAAGUCUUUGCUUAUUAUACUCAUCCUUGCCACGACCUAUACAUGCCAUAACCGUACCUCAUCUGACCUAAUAGAUGGCUAGACAUACAAUAUCCAUGUGUUCCAAAUCGUCUACUAACCGUUAUGUAAAAACUUGAACAAAACUUUGAUUUCCAAAACCCAAAUGAGAAACUAAAAUUCUAGACCAAACUUAUUGUAUCCCUUUUCUUACAAAUCUCGAGGACGAGAUUAUUUUUAAGGGGGGUAGAAUUUGUAGCAUCAAAAAAAUCAUAUUUUGACAAUUAGAGAAAAUCCUAUAAAGAUUUAAGAUUUUAUAUGUCUUUCUUAUAAAUUUUUGGAUUAAUGAAACUAUUUUUAGUCAAAUAAUAGUUAAUACAAAAAAUUUGGCCAUAUAUUUAUAUCCUUAAGUAAAUAGAAUGGUGAAGUAUUUCGCAUAACGUUUUCAUAUUGGGUUAUAUAUAUAUAUAUAUAUAUAUAUAUAUAUAUAUAUAUAUAUAUAUUUCAUUGCUACGUAUGUGAAGGUUUUUGUUUGAUGCAUGUAACGUGUGUUUGAAAUUCAGAACUAAACUUGAAUUUGAAAUUGAAAAUUUAAAAGUAGAAAAUGGGAAAGAAAAAAAAUGAAAUCUCACCCCUAACGUGAGCUAGCUGCCGCUCGGCCCACUUGCUGCUCAAUACUAGUGCAGCCCACGCCCCUUCAAUUCCUUUUUCCUUUGUUUAUUCCUCUUGCCGCAGAUGACAUCACCACGACGUCAUGGCUGACUUCAUCUAUAUUUCAAUGGCGCGUGGGGCCACAAUCCCAGAAUCUUCUCGCUGCCGUUCCGCUGUGAUCCGAACGCGUAAAUGCCGGGUCGUUCAUCGCGGCUUCGCUCGGAGUUGGCCUGCCUUCCGUGUAUAUAUAUAUGGCCUCGGGGGCCUCUACUCCUCAUCCAGCCAUCUCGUGCAAUCCACAGAAGUCCGCCUGCCAGCCCUCAACCCGGAGCCACAGGUUCCUUCGCCAUGCCGCUGCCUUGCCGAAUGGGAGACGACUGGGGAUGCUCCUGCCCGCCGGUGGCUGUCCCCUCCACCGUGAUAGUAGUAUGCGUGUGGCGAGCCGCCAGGAGCCGUAGGAGUUUGGCUGCCUCGCCAACCUGUGCUUCAAAUUGGGCACCAAGUGAAGGAAGAAGGCACUCUGGUGUUUGAUCUCGAUCGGACUCUGUACGUCGCGACGUUCGCUGCCAGGAUCGGGUGGAUUCCACUGGCUGUUCCAACCACCGCCGGGAGCUUCGGAUCUCGGGAGAAGUUGCAGCCACCCAUGUCUGCCCGUGCGCCCACUGCCCUGGGACUUCAUCGUUGGCGUCGUGCCUAGAGCUUGGGCAGUGCGCAUCGGAGAAAGAACUGGAGCCGCCAUUGUUGAAAUCUGGAGCUAGACUGCGCCGUCGGUGGUCUCGCUUUCGCUCUGCUUGCGGUAACUACUCGCCCUGUCCUGCUCGGUUCUAUCUCACCCUUGUCUCGCGCAACAGCAGUCGGACUAGGGCCCUUGAUCGCUGGCGGGUUGUGCGUGGUUGUGCUCACCGCUGCUACUAGCACCGCGGUGGGGAAGAACUACCGACGCCGGUCAGCCAUGGAGAGAGAGAGAGAGAGAGAAGGAAAUAGGAGGGCGUAGGGAGGAAGAAAACUGGCAGCCAUUGGAUUGGAAGUUGACGGUUAGGAUGGGAUAUGGGAAGGAUGUACCGUGGACCGUUGAUCGCGGAAUGGACGUAUCGGAUUAGAUUCACGUAUACCCGUUCGACUCAUUAAAUCCAGGGCGUAGAUCUUGGAUCCUGGGGCUCGGGUUGCGUACCGAUUUGAGCGCGGCCAGAUUUAAUCGUGACCUUUGGUUUAGAUCGGACGACCGAUGUUCUGCGAUACCCCGUCGCGAACACAUUUUCAUAAGAACCCCCUAGAGAUUGAAUAAUUAACCCGCAGUCCACUUGAUGGUUGGCUGAGUCUGGGCGAGUUUUAUAGAGUUGCCCCUGUGCUUUUCUGUAAUAGUGCGCAUGAUCCAGAGGAUAGAGAAAGAGGAUAAAUGAUUAUGGAAAUAGAUUUCUAGUAUAAAAUUUAUUGCAGAAAUUGUUUAAUUCUUAGAAAAUUCAUAUGAAGUUCAAAUUAAUCUAUUCCAGUUGCAAUAAUUUUGUUUUAAUAUUGUUCAUCAUCUAGUACCUUUGUUUAGCCAUAAAAAUUGAAUUAAUGUUAUUCACUUGAUUUAGUCUAUACUAAGCACUUAAUAACUUCGAAAAUUCAUAACUCCUCCGUUUUAACUCCGAUUUAAUCCGUUCAAGUUCCGUUAGUCUCGUAGCAACGCGUAGAUUAUUAUUACACAGUUUAUUCUUAUGUUUGGUGUGAUGUUAAUUUUGCGUAUACCAUGCUUGUUUGUAUUGCUACGACUAGCGCGAGGUUACGAGUCACCUGAAGAUCAUCCUGUUACCUGUAAUUUCAAGUGCCAGGCAAGUUGUGCCCUUGACCACUUUUUACCCAAUAAUGUUCUUUAAUAUCAUUUAUUCAUGCAUAGGUUAAUUUUGAUGGGACCCAAUAGGUUACCCUAGAUUGUUUAUCUCAUUAUCUUGUUUACCUCUGAAUCACUUGGGUAGUUUGCUAUUGCUUUACAUGGAUUUGGGAUAAUUAUUUAUCAUAGCUAUGUUCCAGUUAUUUUGUUAUUCUAUUUAUGUUCAUGUCAAGAUCAUUAAUGUUAACUGGAACAUAGAGCUUAACUUGAGAAACACGUGCCACCACAAGGGUUUAUGGACGCCCUUGGCUGAUUAAUUAGGAAAGCUGGUGGAGGACUACCUUACCCGAAAGGGGCAAGGGCAGUAGGGGAGUGGUCAGUGUAGGGAGGUCCUUGGUUGAUUUUGCUGCGAUGGCGGUCAGGCAAGAACCCUGCAUUGGAGCUUCCUAUAAACUGUAGCGGGUUUUCUGAAGCUAGUGGAACUUUGUAAAGGCCUCGUAGUGUUACCCUGCCUCGCCUCCUCGGUAGAGGUGUAUGGGAAGUCGCGAUCCCUUGGUAGAUGGGUAACAUGACUUGUGGGUAAAGGGUACCACCUCUGCAGAGUGUAAAACUGGUAUACUAGCCGAGCUCACGGUCAUGAGCAGCUCAGGACUCUCUGAUGAUUAACUUAUGGAACUAAAUUCAAUUUGUCAUAUGCAUUGCAUCGCAGGUGAUGUUGUUACUUUUGUUCUACUACUUAAUUGGGUUGGUAUUUACUUAUACUUAGUAACUGCUAAUAAAAUUUUGACCAACUUUAAAAGCAAUGCUCAGCUCUAACCAUCCUCUUUGGUAAGCCUUACACUUCACGUGAGCUCCCACCUUUGGCGAGUUCAUGCACAUUAUUCCCCACAACUUGUUGAGCGAUGAACGUAUGUGAGCUCACUCUUGCUGUCUCACACCCCCCAAAG